UUCCUUGUAGCUCAGUUGGUAAAGAACCUGCCUGCGGUGCAGGAGACCCAGGUUCGAUUCCUAGGUUGGGAA
rfam:Ovis aries breed Texel chromosome 14, whole genome shotgun sequence.